CGUGAAUCAUCGAAUCUUUGAACGCACAUUGCGCCCUCUGGUAUUCCGGAGGGCAUGCCUGUUUGAGCGUCGUU
rnacentral:rRNA from 1 species